UUGCAGCACCUUCACAAAGCCGAGGGGCUCCUUGACCACCCGGAACUGACCCCCAGCCACCAGCUGAGGAGAGAAACAGUGGGGAAGGGGUGGGGUUGUUGGAGGUACAGGGAGGUGAGCGGCAAGGCUGCCCAUCAAUGACCCCAGGGGAUGGAGCAUGUGACCUCGGGGAGAGGGUGAGAAGGAGAAAGUGACACCUUGGGGAUGGUGUGAGCCCCAGGGUCCAAGGACUGGUGGGAAGGUCUGAAGAGAUGCUGAAUAAACUAAGAGGCGGAGAGGAAUUUUCCUAAGUUCACACAGCUGGUAAAUUGGUAGAACCAGGAUAUGAACCCAGGAAGUCUGGCUCCAGCACCUGUUACUCUUAGCCACUGUGCUAACUUAUCAGUACACCAUCUUUUUUUUUUCAGCACACCAUCUUGUAUGUCUGUGAAAGAUACCUGAUAAUACUAUUUGCUUCCAGAGGGUAGGGAAACUUUUCACUUUAUACCCCUUUGUACCUUUUGAGACUCCAUCUCAAAUAAAAUAAAAAAAUAAACAGCCUGGUAGUGUAUCAUCUUAUACAUACACCUUUUAGCACAUAUAUGAGUCUACCUGUAAGAAAUUCCUAGAAGUAUGAAGCUGAACAAAACAGUAAAUGAAUUUAUUUUUCUAGAUUUUGCCCAGUUGCCUUCUACACAGGUUAUACCAAUGAAACUUCCACAAGCGAUUUAUGAGAACGCUUGUUUCUGGCCAACCUGCCAGUAUGGAACAUUAUCAAACUUUUUGAUACUCACCACCCUGAAAGAUGAAAAACAGCAUCUCAGUAGUUUUGUUUUGUUUUGUUUUUGAGACAGAGUCUCACUCUGUUGCCCAGGCUGGAGUGCAGUGGUGCAAUCUCAGUUCACUGCAACCUCCGCCUCCUGGGUUCAAACGAUUCUCCUACCUCUGCCUCCUGAGUAGCUGGGAUUACAAGCACAAACCACCACGUCCGGCUAUUUUUUUUUUUUUUUUUUUUUUUUUUAGUAGAGAUGGGGUUUUGCCAUGUUGGCCAGGCUGGUUGUGAACUCCUGACCUUAAGUGAUCCACUGUCCACUUGGCCUCCCAAAGUGCUGGGAUUACAGGUGUGAGCCACUGCAUCUGGCCUACCUUUUGAAUUUUGAACCAUCUGAAUGAAUAUCUUUUUUUUGAGACAGGGUUUCCCUGUGUUGCCCAGGCUGGAGUCCAGUGGCAUGAAUAUGGCUCACUGCAGCCUCGACCUCCUGGGCUCAAGCGAUCCUCCUGCCUCAGCCUCCUAUGUAGCUGGGACCACAGGCGUGAGACACCACGCCCAGCUAAUUUUUAAAUAUUUUUGUAGAGACGAGGUCUCACUUUGUUGCCCAGGCUGGUCUUGAACUCCUGGGCUCAAGUGAUCCUCCCGCCUCAGCCUCCCAAAGUGCUGAGAUGACAGGCAUGAGUCACCAUGCCCAGCUCAAUACCUGUUUUUUUAAACAUGAAAAUUCACACAUAUAUGUAAUGGAUACUUCCCUGUUGUUGCCUUAUUGGGGAAGCAGUACACAGGAGGGGUUAAAAGCAUGGAUCUUGGCAUCAAACUGCUUGAAUUUGAAUGCCACCUCUGAUACUUCUUGUUUGACCCUGGACAGGUAAGAUGGUUUAAAAUGAUACCUAUAAGGUUGUUGCACUGAUUCAACGAGAUGAUCACUGUAAUGCAGUUAGCACAGGGCCCAAUAAAUGGUUCAUUUUACCUCCUACACAUCUCUGGAAUCCACUCACUUCUCACCAUCUCCUCUGCCACCUCCUCUGGCUAAGGCGACCAUCAUUCCUGCCAAUUUUAGCAUCUCCAGUCUCUUCCCCCUCCCUUCUGUUUUCAGCACAGCCGUCAGAACAUCUAUUUAAAAUGCAAUGUUAACUAUGUCACUACCCUACUCAAAUCCCUCCCAUGGCUCCCCACUGCUUAUAGGAAAAAUCCCAGAGUUUGGGACCUGGCAUUCAAGGUUCCACCUGAUCUGGCCUCAGUGGCUUCUCCCACCUCAUCCCUCAACAGUCUCCCUUCACUCUCUGUGCCCUGCCCAUGACUUGCUGUUCUCACCUAACUCCAGCCCAACCACUUUAAGCCUUUGUUUCAAGGCCUAAUGUAACUCAAUCUUCUCAGUCCUAGUCUCCAAUUCUGGCUUCCCUCAAAUUUCAGUCCUGGCUUGAUUGGCGCAGAUUAUACAAAUGAGACACCCCUGUUCUGGGAGCUGGGAAGAGUUCCUCCCCGACUGGUGGUCUCAUCCUGCACCACUCCCAAUGCUACCU
rnacentral:lncRNA from 1 species